rnacentral:rRNA from 1 species
AUACGUAGGUGGCAAGCGUUGUCCGGAUUUAUUGGGCGUAAAGCGAGCGCAGGCGGUCUUUUAAGUCUGAUGUGAAAGCCCUCGGCUUAACCGAGGAAAGCGCAUCGGAAACUGGGAAACUUGAGUGCAGAAGAGGACAGUGGAACUCCAUGUGUAGCGGUGGAAUGCGUAGAUAUAUGGAAGAACACCAGUGGCGAAGGCGGCUGUCUAGUCUGUAACUGACGCUGAGGCUCGAAAGUAUGGGUAGC